GCGCCAAUAGCUCAGUUGGAUAGAGCAACGGCCUUCUAAGCCGUGUGUCGCAAGUUCGAAUCCUGCUUGGCGCA
rnacentral:tRNA from 1 species